rnacentral:rRNA from 1 species
CCUACGGGGGGCUGCAGUGGGGAAUCUUCCGCAAUGGGCGAAAGCCUGACGGAGCAACGCCGCGUGAGUGAUGAAGGUCUUCGGACUGUAAAACUCUGUUGUCGGGGACGAAGGUGCGCUAUGCGAACAGUUUAGCGUAUUGACGGUACCUGACGAGGAAGCCACGGCUAACUACGUGCCAGCAGCCGCGGUAAUACGUAGGUGGCAAGCGUUGUCCGGAAUUAUUGGGCGUAAAGAGCAUGUAGGCGGACUUUUAAGUCUGGCGUGAAAAUGCGGGGCUCAACCCCGUAUGGCGUUGGAUACUGGAAGCCUUGAGUGCAGGAGAGGAAAGGGGAAUUCCCAGUGUAGCGGUGAAAUGCGUAGAUAUUGGGAGGAACACCAGUGGCGAAGGCGCCUUUCUGGACUGUGUCUGACGCUGAGAUGCGAAAGCUAGGGUAGCAAACGGGAUUAGAUACCCUUGUAGUC